ACAAUGGAUGUAGUCAGGAUGUAAAGGGCAGGCUGACUAGCCCUAGGUGACUCUUUCAACCUGGAUGGGCCUUCAUCCACAUCAUCAUCUACCUGCCCAUCAAGUUCCUGAGCCUCAUACAUGCUGCAGUGUGUUCAGUGAAGAGAAGGGGAUGAAAGAAGUUGAUUAAGACGUACCACUUUAAUUAACCAAAUGUCCCCAGGAACAGGAAUAUAGAGCUGCUUUUGAAUCCCGUUCUGAUUUACAGUCUGGAGGGGAUCGAUAAUACCUGCACAAAAAAAGGAGAGUACCACAGAAAGUGUGUCUGACAGUGUCUGUUGUGUUGCCAGUAUAGUUUGCUGAGGACAAGAGGUAUUGUGUCAAAUUCCUUCUCUGAAUAAGGUAUCUCUGUCUUUUGUCUCUUUGUAUUUUGUCUGCUUUUCCAGAAACUUGCUUCUGUUACAGAGUCUAAGAUGAAGGUUCCCCAUAUUUUUGGUUUGGUUGUUGUUGUUACUUUAUGUUGGAGAUGGAAUAUAAAUUAAAUAUGUAUUAGUCUAGAGAGGAAAUUUGAGGAUGACUUUAAUCAGUUUUGAGGACAAUGUCUGUGGAGACAGUAAGAA